UUUUGCAAGAUAAACCUUCAUGUCAAAUAAAUACAGGUCAAACCAUAAUAUGAAAAAUCUCCUGCAACAUAGCCCUUCCGUGUAUCGAAACGUGACAGUCAAAGGAAACAAAAAA
rnacentral:sRNA from 1 species